CUGUCUUAUAUAUAUUAUAUUGAAUUUGACUUUUAAGUGAAAAGGCUUAAAUAAAAUAAAGGGAAGAUAAGACCCUAUAAAACUUAAUAUAAUUUAUAUUAUUUUUUAAAAUUAUUAGUUUAUUAUAUAAAAUAAUGUAAUAUUAUUUUAUUGGGGCGAUAGGAAUAUAAAAUAUUAACUGUUCUUUUUUAUUAAUCAAUUAAUAAUUGAUUAAAUAGAUCCUUUUUUAAAGAUUAAAAGUUAAAGUUACUUUAGGGAUAACAGCGUAAUUUUUUUUAAGAGUUCUUAUCGAUAAAAAAGAUUGCGACCUCGAUGUUGAAUUAAAAUUUCUUUAUAAUGUAGCAGUUAUAUAAGAAGGUCUGUUCGACCUUUAAAUUUUUA
rnacentral:rRNA from 1 species